GACGAACGCUGGCGGCGUGCUUAACACAUGCAAGUCGAGCGGUAAGGCCCUUUCGGGGGUACACGAGCGGCGAACGGGUGAGUAACACGUGGGUGACCUGCCCUCAGCUCUGGGAUAAGCCUGGGAAACUGGGUCUAAUACUGGAUAUGACUCCACGGUGCAUGUCGUGGGGUGGAAAGCCUUGUGCGGCUGAGGAUGGGCCCGCGGCCUAUCAGCUUGUUGGUGGGGUGAUGGCCUACCAAGGCGACGACGGGUAGCCGGCCUGAGAGGGCGACCGGCCACACUGGGACUGAGACACGGCCCAGACUCCUACGGGAGGCAGCAGUGGGGAAUUGUUCGCAAUGGGCGCAAGCCUGACGACGCAACGCCGCGUGGAGGAUGAAGGUCUUCGGAUUGUAAACUCCUGUUGACCGGGACGAAUGGGCUCCGACCAAAUACGUCGGGGCAUUGACGGUACCGGUUGAGGAAGCCACGGCUAACUCUGUGCCAGCAGCCGCCGCGGU
rnacentral:rRNA from 1 species